CUCGGAGGGGUGGUUCCUCAGCCCGGAUUGUGAGAGGGCACAGGCCAGGCUGAGGGACCCCAUAGGUGCACU
rfam:Myotis brandtii contig265802, whole genome shotgun sequence.